rnacentral:rRNA from 1 species
CCUACGGGAGGCAGCAGUGGGGAAUAUUGGGCAAUGGGCGCAAGCCUGACCCAGCAACGCCGCGUGAAGGAAGAAGGCUUUCGGGUUGUAAACUUCUUUUGUCAGGGACGAAGCAAGUGACGGUACCUGACGAAUAAGCCACGGCUAACUACGUGCCAGCAGCCGCGGUAAUACGUAGGUGGCAAGCGUUAUCCGGAUUUACUGGGUGUAAAGGGCGCGUAGGCGGGGAAGGAAGUCAGAUGUGAAAACCACGGGCUCAACCCGUGACCUGCAUUUGAAACUGUUUUUCUUGAGUGCAGGUGAGGCAAGCGGAAUUCCGGGUGUAGCGGUGAAAUGCGUAGAUAUACUGAGGAACACUCAUGGCGAAGGCAGGUUCCUAAACAUUAACUGACGCUGAGGCACGAAGGCCAGGGGAGCGAAAGGGAUUAGAUACCCCAGUAGUC